UACGUAGGUGGCAAGCGUUGUCCGGAAUUAUUGGGCGUAAAGCGCGCGCAGGCGGUCCCUUAAGUCUGAUGUGAAAGCCCACGGCUCAACCGUGGAGGGUCAUUGGAAACUGGGUGACUUGAGUGCAGAAGAGGAAAGUGGAAUUCCAUGUGUAGCGGUGAAAUGCGUAGAGAUGUGGAGGAACACCAGUGGCGAAGGCGACUUUCUGGUCUGUAACUGACGCUGAGGCGCGAAAGCGUGGGGAGCAAACAGG
rnacentral:rRNA from 1 species